AGGGUUUGAUUAUGGCUCAGGACGAACGCUGGCGGCGCGCCUAACACAUGCAAGUCGAACGGUGAAGAGGAGCUUGCUCCUCGGAUCAGUGGCGGACGGGUGAGUAACACGUGAGCAACCUGGCUCUAAGAGGGGGACAACAGUUGGAAACGACUGCUAAUACCGCAUAACGUAUCGGGAUGGCAUCUUCCUGAUACCAAAGAUUUUAUCGCUUAGAGAUGGGCUCGCGUCUGAUUAGAUAGUUGGCGGGGUAACGGCCCACCAAGUCGACGAUCAGUAGCCGGACUGAGAGGUUGAACGGCCACAUUGGGACUGAGACACGGCCCAG
rnacentral:rRNA from 1 species